rnacentral:misc_RNA from 1 species
CAACCCUCGAGAACCCCUUUAUGGGGGGAUCGGUGUUGGGGCUCGACCGUCCCCCGUGGCGGUCGUCCCCUAAACUCAUUGGCGGUCUCGCUGUAGCCUCCUCUGCGCAGUAACUUACAUUCUCGCAGGCGGAGAGCGGCGCGGCCACGCCGUAAAACCCCAACUUUCUAA